rnacentral:rRNA from 1 species
AUUGAACGCUGGCGGCAUGCCUUACACAUGCGAGUCGAACGGCAGCACGGGAGCAAUCCUGGUGGCGAGUGGCGAACGGGUGAGUAAUACAUCGGAACGUGCCCAAUCGUGGGGGAUAACGCAGCGAAAGCUGUGCUAAUACCGCAUACGCUCUACGGACGAACGCGGGGGACCGCAAGGCCUUGCGCGCAUGGAGCGGCCGAUGGCAGAUUAGGUAGUUGGUGGGGUAAAGGCUCACCAAGCCAACGAUCUGUAGCUGGUCUGAGAGGACGACCAGCCACACUGGGACUGAGACACGGCCCAGACUCCUACGGGAGGCAGCAGUGGGGAAUUUUGGACAAUGGGCGCAAGCCUGAUCCAGCCAUGCCGCGUGCAGGAUGAAGGCCUUCGGGUUGUAAACUGCUUUUGUACGGAACGAAACGGCCUUUGCUAAUAAAGAGGGCUAAUGACGGUACCGUAAGAAUAAGCACCGGCUAACUACGUG